CCUGCUUCCUAAUCCAUCCAUGGUCAAACCCAUAUCCACAACAGGAUCUAUGACUGUAACUAUACACUAUAUACAACAGAAGGUUUAUAAUACACCAAAAGGGUAUAAACUCUAUCUACAAUUUACUAUACUAUACUAUGGAGCGGCACAGCUAGCAGGCAAUCGUUAACCCUGCUCUUCUCUAUACAAUACCUGCCCUGCAAUCAAAAAUACCAAACUGGGGAGUGAGUAUAUAAAUACUCAGUGAGUGGAGUAGAGAGUACUAUGCACAUGAGACAGAAUAUAAUCAUGGCUCGAGAUGAAAUCUCAAGAUCAAUAACAAGAUGAACAUGAACUCAACAUAGAGAAUAUGGAGUAAAUCAUCAAUAUCACCACAAUCAAUAUCAACUCAUCUGAAGCAUAUAUGCAAUAAUCAAGUAAACAUAUAUGCUACUCAUGAAUAUGCUCAACAGAUCAUAAUGCUGGAACAUACAAAUCAGGUGUCAAUAUGCUGAAUCAUCGAUAAAUAGCUAUCGAAAGGUGGGUCUUACGCCCCAGGCGAACCACAACAACUCCCUACUGCCAUAUGCAUACAUAGAAUAUGACAUCACACCAAUAUGUAAAUCAGGGUGUCAAUAUGCGAAAUCAUCACUAGACAGUUGUCGGAAGGUGGAUUUUACGCCCAGGCGAACCAGCAACAACUCCCUACUGUC
rnacentral:lncRNA from 1 species